rnacentral:lncRNA from 1 species
AUCACUUUAUGUUGCAAACUCAUGCAAUCAUAUUCUUUACAUUUCUCUACUCUUGCUAACUCUAGCAUUCUUGUUCGUUACAAUUCUUGUUCUUAUUGCCCCACUUUACUUUAAUCUUACACAUUGUCAUUUUCAUCAUUCUUUACAUCACGUUAGUUCUUUGCAUCACACUAACUCUAGUGUCUCUUUACUUUACAUUUUCAAAUGCCACUCGAUCUAUGUCAUAGU